rnacentral:lncRNA from 1 species
AAAGAGCCGGCCUUUCCGGGCUCACCACGUAGCUUCCUCCCCGGCCCUGCUCAUGGCCCUGCCUGGCUGUCUCCUCUGCCUGGAGGCCUCUCACUCACCUUUAGGGUGGGCUCCUGGCAGGGCAGGGUGGCCUGAGGGGCCUUAGGGAGGAUUUAGGGGUGAACACCCAAGAUCCCGGGUCCAUGAGAUUCCUGGAGCCAGGAGAAGGUGGCUUCACCACUCAAUUCAGUCAUAGGGACCAGCCAGGCCCAGUCCCACAGAUGAGGAGUCCUGGAGGGUCCUAGGCCUGCUCAGGUCCUCAGGAAGCAGAUGCUGAGCGGACCUGGGGCAUGCGACAGGUGACAGUAAUGCCCAGAAGAGAUGGGGCGUCAGGAGUCACCCGACUGGCCUGAAAAUCUGAUGGCACCUCCAGCGCCACGGCGAGCUCUGGGGCCAGGGCCACCUGCUGCAGGGACCACGGGUUGAGUGGCAACAUCCAGGCCCCAGCCACUUGCAUCUCAGCCACUGGAAAGGGGACAGCCACCAUCCGAGCCCCCCAUCCAGGGGUUCCCAUGUGGGGACACCUUCUGGCAGCCCAGCUGAGCUCCCACCCCUAGCAAACACUGCCGGCCUCUCACCCCAGAGCGCUUUCAAUGGCAGCAGCCUCCAAGGGCACCCACUGAGAGACCCCAACUGAGAGCCCCCAACCACGCCCUCCGAACUCCUGGCCAGUGGGACGAGACACACUUCUGCCCACUGAGAAGGUCCUCGG